rnacentral:lncRNA from 1 species
UAAUCACCAAGACAUUGGACCACGUUACGCUGUAAGUACCUCUAUUGCAUAUAAAAGCUUUAUAUAUUGAUUGACAUGUCUAGAAUUGUUUGUCCUACUUUUUUCCCGGAUAGCACGUAACUGCGGUCCCAGGAUGCAACUCAUGGACUUUAUCUCUACGCUGUAAGUACCUCUACUGCAUAUAAAAGCUUUAUAUAUUGAUUGGCAUGUCUAGAAUUGUUUGUCCUACUUUUUUCCCGGUUAGCACGUAACUGUGGUCUCAGGAUGCAACUCAUGGACUUUAUCUUGUCACCGGUAGUGGAAGUUCUUGUCUUGACACUGUUAACUGUAUUAUAUGAAUUAGUGAUCAGCAAGAAAUUUUACAUCAUGUUAGUUUGUUGGUUGAUGGCUGUAAACCUCUGGUAACGCUUGUCUUGACCAAUUAUUUAUUGCACGGAACAGUCGGAC